rnacentral:sRNA from 1 species
CUCCGGAGUCGCAAUGACAUAGGCGACGUCGCCCCGUUCAUAGCCUGGCCGCUGCAGCAGGGCCUUCAGGUCGCCCGUGCAGGCCGAGAUUCGGACGGGCUGCUGGU